rnacentral:lncRNA from 1 species
CAACCUCUUUGUUGGACAGAUUAAAAAUCCAAUUCUGAACCUGACAACUAAAUUAAAGAAGUGACUAAAUUGACUACGACGGGUUGGAUUAAGUUAAAUGGUUUAAACAGGUUAACUAUCGUCACCCCUAUUUCAGAGAUAUCCGCUAAGGAGUUAUGAUGACAGUUGUUCACUGGUUAUAGAGGCUAAAUGAAGAGGUGAUACGGGUCCGUUAUCAGUUUUAGGCUCUUGGUAG